rfam:Brassica napus, WGS project CCCW01000000 data, contig: 972
UGUGGCAGAUGAUGAAUUGAUUAAUUUAUGCUUAAAACACAGAAUAAUAGUGUUGACAAACAAUCUCCGCUUAUUAUCUGAUGCCAUG